rnacentral:tRNA from 2 species
GGAAAUGAUAAAAGGUUAACUUGCUGUAUUUAAAGAAAAAAUCGCCAGUCUUGAAAACCGGCGAACGUUAAUAGCGUUCCCAGGGUUCGAAUCCCUGGUUUCCC